rnacentral:sRNA from 1 species
CCGUACGGCCCUCGCCGGCCGCCAUCCCCGAAACUUGCCAGUGUCGCGUCUGCAGUGUGUGGGGUUCGCGGGGCGGCGGGCAGAGUUGAGCAUUUUGUCAUCUGCAAAUAAUUUUAGCCAGGUGGCAAGUGUAUGGACUGUGGAGUAAGAAGUACGUGCCUCUGCCUCUGACUUGGGGGUCAUUGUCAUUCGAAGAUGUGGCUGUGGGCUUCACCAGGGAGGAGUGGCAGUUUUUGGACCAGUCUCAGAAGGUCUUGUAUAAGGAAGUAAUGUUGGAGAACUACAGCAACCUAGUAUCAGUAGGGUAUCAAGGCACCAAGCCAGAUUCGCUCUUCAAGUUGGAGCAAGGAGAACCCCCAUGGAUAGUAGAAGGAGCAGCCCACAGUCAAAUCUGUCCAGGGUAUUCAUUCAGGAGAAGGACCCUACAGAUGGAAUGAAUGCAGGAAAGCUAAGAAGAAUCACGCCUCAUUGCAGAUCUGCAUUACCUUUGGAAAACAGCAGCCUCAGAACCACAGUAGCCAUGAAAACCAUCAGCCUUCAACCACCACCCUUGUAUCAGAGGAGACAAAUAAGCUUGGAAAUCCUCAAAAAGCCUCAUCCUCAGAGCAAUGUCAUUAUAUAUCUUAUCUUACAGCUCCAU